GCUACUACACCACCAGCUGCUGCUCCCACAAAGCCUAAAACUCCUGCCCCUGCUACUGCACCUGCCUCAGCUCCACCCACAGCUGUUUCUACUCCUCCAGCAGCUGCACCAGCCACUGCUCCUACUACCCCUGUUGUUACUCCACCUGUAUCAGCACCACCAGCUAAAACACCAGCUAGUUCUCCACCAGCUGCAGUGCCUGUGAGUUCACCACCACCAGCGGUUACACCGGUGCAAUCUCCACCAGCACCAGCUCCGGUAGCAGCGACACCACCAGCUGCAUCUGCUCCACCUGCUCCUGUUCCAGUUUUAGCACCUGCUGUUUCGGAGACAGUACCAGCUCCUGCUCCUAGCAAGAGCAAGGGCAAGGGAAAGAAGAAGGGGAAGAAACAUGCAUCUUCACCAGCACCUUCUCCUGAUAUGAUGAGCCCACCUGCUCCUCCUACUGAAGCUCCUGGACCUAGCAUGGAUUCCGACUCUCCCAGUCCAUCUCUCAACGAUGAGGUACGUAAUCUCAUUAAUUCUUUUUCUUU
rnacentral:lncRNA from 1 species